CAGGGUGUGGCCAAAAACAAAAACCUGAAUCCCAAAACACUGUGACUGUCAGGGGUGGUGAAAAUGGGUCGACUCAUGGACAUUUUCCAUUAUAGAAAGAAAGAAAAUAUCAUUCCGCACUCCAAAUUUCCCCAAAAAGGACAGAUUAAGGGUUCGCAGCAGGAUUAAAAGCGCUCUCUUGCAGAGAGGUUCGGCCUCCUUGUACUUGCCCCUCUUGCCGUACAGAACGGCCAGGUUGUUAAGGGUUGCGGCCACAGCUGGAUGAUCCUUCCCCAGUGUCUUCUCUCGGAUGGCCAGGGCGUCAUUCAGCAGAACCUCCUCUAAGUCCCCCCCCCACCUGUACACCAAGGCCAGGAUGUUGAGCAUGGUGGCUACGUCGGGGUGAUCGUGUCCGGACGUCUUCUCCAGGUCCUCCAGGGCUUGUUUGCACAGCGGCACGGCCACCUCGUAC